UUCUGAGAUGGUAUCAUUUAUAUGAUGCAAUCGGCAAUCGAGUUGCUUUUCUUUGACAAGAUUUUAGAGGCUUCUCUGAAAUGCCUAACAACAAUAGAGCCUGCAGUGAAUGGGCCUAUGACAAGGAUGGGCUCCCUAUUUCCCGCGGCCGUAGUGAAUGCAGCUUUGAGCUCUUUUUGUUUGUGAUAAAUGGAUGAGGCCUAGAAAAACAGCAAAAGAAUCACAAAAAUAAUAUUAUUGUUUAUUGAUAUUACAUGUGAUUAUAUUAUGUGCGCUAUAAUUCGUAUUGUAUGUGAUUAAAUUCACACCCUUUCUCUGUUAGAAGAAUUUAAAUUCAACACCCCCUUCUGUUAUUUCCCUACGAAGAAGACAAAACAUCCCCGCACCUGUCAUUAGCGCUGCGCCACUUCAACGGUUCAACCCCUGUGCUCCCGAGAAAUCGUUCCCAUCCCUCCUUCUUCUUCUUCUUCUUCGCUCUCUCUCUCUUGCAUUCGAGAUGGAUCAGUACUUUGCGGAGCUCCUACCUU
rnacentral:lncRNA from 1 species